rnacentral:rRNA from 1 species
GAUGAACGCUGGCGGCGUGCCUAAUACAUGCAAGUCGAGCGAACGGACGAGGAGCUUGCUCCUUUGACGUUAGCGGCGGACGGGUGAGUAACACGUGGAUAACCUACCUAUAAGACUGGGAUAACUUCGGGAAACCGGAGCUAAUACCGGAUAAUAUAUUGAACCGCAUGGUUCAAUAGUGAAAGACGGUUUUGCUGUCACUUAUAGAUGGAUCCGCGCCGCAUUAGCUAGUUGGUAAGGUAACGGCUUACCAAGGCAACGAUGCGUAGCCGACCUGAGAGGGUGAUCGGCCACACUGGAACUGAGACACGGUCCAGACUCCUACGGGAGGCAGCAGUAGGGAAUCUUCCGCAAUGGGCGAAAGCCUGACGGAGCAACGCCGCGUGAGUGAUGAAGGUCUUCGGAUCGUAAAACUCUGUUAUUAGGGAAGAACAAAUGUGCAAGUAACUAUGCACGUCUUGACGGUACCUAAUCAGAAAGCCACGGCUAACUACGUG